rnacentral:rRNA from 1 species
UACGUAGGUGGCAAGCGUUGUCCGGAAUUACUGGGCGUAAAGUGUGCGCAGGCGGCCGCGCAAGUCGAGUGUGAAAUCCCCGGGCUUAACUUGGGAAUUGCGCUCGAAACUACGUGGCUGGAGUGUGGCAGAGGAAGGUGGAAUUCCACGUGUAGCGGUGAAAUGCGUAGAGAUGUGGAGGAACACCGAUGGCGAAGGCAGCCUUCUGGGCCAACACUGACGCUCAUGCACGAAAGCGUGGGGAGCAAACAGG